rnacentral:rRNA from 1 species
GGCCUGAGAGGGUGACCGGCCACACUGGGACUGAGACACGGCCCAGACUCCUACGGGAGGCAGCAGUGGGGAAUAUUGCACAAUGGGCGAAAGCCUGAUGCAGCAACGCCGCGUGAGGGAUGACGGCCUUCGGGUUGUAAACCUCUUUUAGUAGGGAAGAAGCGAAAGUGACGGUACCUGCAGAAAAAGCACCGGCUAACUACGUGCCAGCAGCCGCGGUAAUACGUAGGGUGCAAGCGUUGUCCGGAAUUAUUGGGCGUAAAGAGCUCGUAGGCGGUUUGUCGCG